ACCACUAUCGCUAUUGAGAUUUUGGGAAUUGGGACCAGAGUGAAGGCUAGAAACAUUACCAUCUUCAGAUUCAAUUAAUGCUUCUUUCUCAACUAUCUGACAAUCUUUUCCAGCUUCACCAUCACAAGCAGUAUCUUCUCUAAGUAACUCCCCUUGAGGUUCCUUAUCAACAGCUCCUUUAGAAUCAUGGGACUUUCUUCGCCGUCUAUUGUUGUGACGCUCUAAUUUUCUUCUACAACUCCGUUUGCCUUCGUCAAAAUCUGACAGCAAGUGAAACUUCCCACACUGCUGACAGUAUCUCUUGUUCUCCCCAUCAAGUACAACAGCACUAGCAUUAGCGCAGCGUAAACAAACCCUGUGCCUCUUAUGAUAUCCUUUAAGCUCGCCAAUAUCUGCCUCGCACUCAGGCACUUGACACCUAGCAACACCCACGCUGGACCGGGUCGUUCUGACCCGCUUCUUCCCAGGUACAGCCUCCUCUUCUAACUUCUCGUCAAGCUCUGGGCACGCGCAGGGGACCCUUCCCGCAAGAAAAUUGGAGCAGGUCAACCUCGGGUCUCCUGACGCGAUCCGGAACUGGAGCUGUCUCAAUUUGAUUGACUUCAAUAGUAGUUGAAGUACCGACGGAAUCGAACGAUAUUGGGAAUUGAUCGUCCACCGUGAAGUCCAACAGAUCUCCCCAGUCCCAGAGAGCUGAAGACGAAGGGUCUUCCGACACAGGCGGGUGAAUUUCCAUAUCGUGAAACUUAGGCCGAAGAGCUCCGGGUGAAGGUGGAGGAGAAGGUCCCAUAACGGCGGAGAAAAUCCCUAGAUAUUUUAGGAUAGGUAAGGUGGCGUUUAGGAGAAGUAACAGAUAGAAAUUGGCCCGGUUGUUAAGCGAUGGGUAAAGUUCAGUUUGGCUUGGAGGGCUAGGGAGUCGUCGUCGGAGGAAAACAAAAUGAGGUUAUUGUGGCGACAUGGAAUCUUACUCGAUUAUUGUCCUUAGAAUAGCAAUUCCACGCGCUUUCUUGAGACGGGCCGCUGCCAAAUAUAGCUAUAAUCAAAC
rnacentral:misc_RNA from 1 species